rnacentral:rRNA from 1 species
UACGUAGGGGGCGAGAGUUGUCCGGAUUUACUGGGUGUAAAGGGUGCUCAGGUGGAUUUGUAAGUCAGAGGUGAAAUCCCAAAGCUCAACUUUGGAGCUGCCUUUGAUACUGCAAGUCUGGAGUUUGGGAGAGGGUAAUGGAAUAUCUGGUGUAGCAGUGAAAUGCGUAGAUAUCAGAUAGAACACCAAUGGCGAAGGCAGUUGCCUGGCCCAAAACUGACGCUAAAGCACGACAGUGUGUGGAGCUAACAGG